rnacentral:rRNA from 1 species
AGCGAACGCUGGCGGCAGGCCUAACACAUGCAAGUCGAACGAAGUCUUCGGACUCAGUGGCGGACGGGUGAGUAACACGUGGGAACGUGCCUUUAGGUUCGGAAUAACUCAGGGAAACUUGUGCUAAUACCGAAUGUGCCCUUCGGGGGAAAGAUUUAUCGCCUUUAGAGCGGCCCGCGUCUGAUUAGCUAGUUGGUGAGGUAAAGGCUCACCAAGGCGACGAUCAGUAGCUGGUCUGAGAGGAUGAUCAGCCACAUUGGGACUGAGACACGGCCCAAACUCCUACGGGAGGCAGCAGUGGGGAAUCUUGCGCAAUGGGCGAGAGCCUGACGCAGCCAUGCCGCGUGAAUGAUGAAGGUCUUAGGAUUGUAAAAUUCUUUCACCGGGGACGAUAAUGACGGUACCCGGAGAAGAAGCCCCGGCUAACUUCGUGCCAGCCGCCGCAGUAA